rnacentral:rRNA from 1 species
GAUGAACGCUGGCGGCGUGCCUAAUACAUGCAAGUCGAGCGAACGGACGAGGAGCUUGCUUCUCUGAUGUUAGCGGCGGACGGGUGAGUAACACGUGGAUAACCUACCUAUAAGACUGGGAUAACUUCGGGAAACCGGAGCUAAUACCGGAUAAUAUUUUGAACCGCAUGGUUCAAUAGUGAAAGACGGUCUUGCUGUCACUUAUAGAUGGAUCCGCGCUGCAUUAGCUAGUUGGUAAGGUAACGGCUUACCAAGGCAACGAUGCGUAGCCGACCUGAGAGGGUGAUCGCCCACACUGGAAGGGAGACACGGUCAAGACUCCUACGGGAGGCAGCAGUAGGGAAUCUGCCGCAAUGGGCGAAAGCCUGACGGAGCAACGCCGCGUGAGUGAUGAAGGCCUUCGGAUCGUAAAACUCUGUUACUAGGGAAGAACAUAUGUGUAAGUAACUGUGCACAUCUUGACGGUACCUAAUCAGAAAGCCACGGCUAACUACGUG